GGGUACAUAGCUCAGUGGUAGAGUACAUUCUUAGCGUGCAUGAGGUCCUGGGUUCAAUCCCCAGUGCCUCCA
rnacentral:tRNA from 1 species